rnacentral:tRNA from 1 species
GCUUAGCUCAAUUGGUUAGAGUGUUGUGCUGAUAACGCAAAGGUUAUGGGUUCGGAUCCCAUGGAUCCUACCGUCAAUA